GUCUUCAUGAAAGAUGAAUCACUCUGUCUCUUGACCGACACUUUGGUUACAUUCUAUUGUUGUGGAAGAAGGGAGACAUUCACCUUUUUCUGAAAUUGAGUUGGGUACUUACUGGUCUUCAUCUUCUCAUAAAGCAAAAAACAUGUCACUUCAAAUGCUUACAUGUCCACAGUGUCAUUCAUUUAUUCCUUUAUUCAGAAUAUAAAUGCUAGUUGAAUGGCAUUUCAUGCCAGACGCUCUGCUGGAUUCUGAUAAAAGGCAGAGUCCACCUCUAAGGGUUUGAAGGCUUAGCACAAGAACUCUGAUAUAUAUGGUAGGGGAUGGAGUAGGCCAAGAAUUAGGAAAGGUGCAUUUUGGUCCUGGAUUAGUCAUAUUUUAUGACCCUGGACAUGUCAUAACUGAGGAAACAUGGUUCAAAAUAUAAUUCCAUGUUUCAUCAAUUUAAGAUGCCAUCAAGUGUAAGAUGAACGUUAUCUUAUGUACUACCAAGAAAAAUCAAAAACUGCUCUCUAAAUUAUGAUAAAACACUGUCUUAUCCAAUUGGAUUUUUUAUUUUUAUAUACUGAAAUAGCUCCUCUAGACUUAUUUAAACAUAGAUUUCUAAAAUUGUAUGUCUUUUUUUGUAGACACCAAAGGAAAAUAAAACUUCUUCGGAGUUGGAAUCUUCUGAGUCAGUUUUCAGCUGUUGUCAACGCCUAUGCUUUUCUCUCAGUAUCAUUUUAUGAAUCAUUAAGAAUGCUGGUGAUGUGAGCUUCUUUGAAAGAGCGUGCCUCUUGGGAUUCUGGCCUUUACUUUCUAAGCUACUAACGUCCAUCCUGCAAGUUUUAACACUGAAAGUUUCUUUGUCUCACCAGAAUGUGUCAACUGGUGGUUUUCAGACAAUUACUAAAACUGAAACUCCUCCCUCAAAUGCUUUGUUGACUGAGAGGUCCAAGAACUGAAGUUUUUUGAUUAUCCUACCAGUAAUAACGUGUUUUCUUAUGCACAGGCAAUCACAACCAUUUCAAGCUUACCACCUGGCCAACAAUAAUUGGAAGACACCAAGUUUUCAGAAAUUUUAAAAUACGAAGCUGUGCCACAUGAAGUGGUUAUGCGUGAGUCAUAGUGAGGAAAUAAGAAGAUGGCCCCCACCACCCAAAGACAAUAGAUGAGCUCUCCUCAUGCUUCUGGAUGCUCCGAUGCUCUCAAUGGGAUCUGAGAGCCAUGAAAAUGCAAAGUGGGCACAACAUAGAAGAGAGAAGUUGAUUAAAGCGCUGAAUGAAUUUGUGGAAAUCUAUAGAUGAGGAAAGUGAGGCAUUAGAUCAUUUAAUUUCACAGAAACUUCAUAAGGUUGCCUCCAGCGUCACCGUUUCCCAGACAGCUGGAGAAGAAAAGAGGGAUCCAGGACAAGCAGCUCGUCUUUAAGGAGAUGACCCAGAAGUUACCCAGCCUCUUGCAUCCGUGCCUCAGUAUCCUAACACCACGAAGAGUAGCAGGGAAACGUGCUUUCUAUUGGAUGGCCACAUAACGGGUUAAAAUGUUCUUAUUAUUAUUAAAAAGAAGAAAAUGCUAACGAGCAUUAGGAGACACCUGUACACAGUUGGCCACUUAGGAAACAUGAUUUUCAGGAAUUCCAAAAGAGAAUUCUGUCCUACUCCUCCCCGAAAUGUCCACCCUCCAAACGAUGUUAGAAGCUUGCCACUCCCGUACCCUUUUCCAGGGCUGCUGCACAGGUUUGCCCUGCAUAACUGGAGGGGACCUCAUUCCCCAUUACCAUGAGGUGAAUGACAUUCCAGACCAGGCCUUGAAGUGGUCCAGCUUCCUUUCUCUUUCAGCCCGCACUCCUAUUGAAAUGAGCAAGUCUUAGCAAUUUACAUCGCAUUGUGAGGGUUUCUGAUCCAUCUUUGGGAGAGUAGGUUUUUAUUGGCUGACCUUUUAAAAAGGAUGCCUCCCAUCACCACGCUGGAGCCACGCUGCCCGCCCGCCUCAUUUCUCACUGUUGUCUGCACCGCACCCUCUGGUGAGCCACAUCCUCCAGCUCUGGGCUUCUCAACCACGUGUCCCAAAUUUCUAGGGAGUCUCUGGUCCAGAGUUGUUGCUACCAAUAACUAAAGUAUUGGAUACACACACAUGCUAUUGAAUCCUUUCACUUUCUUUUGUCUUUCUAACUUGAUGUCAUGAUAUGACUUCUCUGAUUAUCUUCUCUAAUGAUAAAAAUUUAAAAUGGAAUGUUAUUUAGAAUUCAUAAAUUCAAAUAUGUUUUUAAUUUUUAUUUAAAUAGUAACCCCUAUGCAGAGCAGGAAAAAGAAAUCCAAGCAGGUCAAGAGGACACAAGCUUCUCCUGACUUCUGUCCCUAAGGAUUUCUGUCUCCUGACUUCUGUCCCUGAGUUUCUCCCCAUUAGGCAACUCCUUUGCCAGUUUCUUCUAUAUCCUUCUAGACAACAAAGAAGCUACUGUAGUUGGUUGUCACACCCCAGCCACUGCAGCUUUUAUUUAUGCCACAGUUGGAGGUGGGGUGCGCACAGCAUCAGAAUCUGUCAGGGAGUGGUACAGAUGUGCUUCCUGAACUCACACCCUCCUCUCGCUCCUGCUGUCCUGUCCUUUCCCUGCUUCUCCACACCAUGAGUUCCUUCAUGAACAUCUGGUCAAAUGUGCCCAGCUCCGUGAUGACCUCUCUCCCCACCUCGUCGUGCUGGCUGCUCGUCUCUCCAGGAAGAACCCAUCCUCCCCUUUGAACGCACCCUUAGCACUUAGCACGUACCAGCACUCUAGCAUUUUUCCAACAGAGUCAUAAUUGUUGGAAUGCCCUCCCUCCUCUGUCCUUGCUCCCUGUAAGUUCCUUGACGGCAGAAACCCUUCAUUACAAAUCUCUGUGACUUUGCAUAGAAGAGUGCUUAUCACAUAGUAGGGGCUCGGUAAAUUUUUGAUAAAUAAAAGAAGAAGACAAGAGACAGGCCCUUCCCACUGGUGAGUGGAAUCUAAUUGAGAUGUGAUUGAAUCCCAGGAGCAAACCCUGGCUGGGCUCCUUCUCAAGAAACUGAAUUUCUCACUGCAGCUCUCCAGAGGGGCCUGCUUAUCGGGGCUCAGUGUGUGGUCUAGAAUCAUGUGCACCGACAUAUUGCAACGUGGUGUUGUAACGAUGCCUUAGGUAGGAGGCAGCGCUGUCACAUAUGAAAUGGCUAGAGAAAGAUACAGAUCUUCCUCUUCCCAUUAUGAAAGUUAUCAGAUAUUUUGGAGGAAGAUACAAAUACCAGAUCCCUUUCAGACACACAGACAUGGGCAGAGACACAUACGCACACGGAAAUGCUGUGUCUUCGCUAAAUAUAACCCUUUGUAGCGACAGUAUCUCAAUAAUUUUCAAGUGAAAAGAUAAGGAAGGGGAGCCAAGUCUUUCAUAAUGAAUGCAAGCCUAUAGCUUUUAAACAGGGCUAACAUAUGGGCCACUGAUGUGAAUGUGAAUGCAAAUUAGAUAUUUUUGAUUGCUUGAAAUAAAGUCAGCAGAAUCAAAGCCUCACACAGCAAAUGGCGCAGCUUUAACUACGUCGGUGCCAGGAUGGAAACAAGGGCUCUUAACACAUCACCAGGAAAAAAAGGGUUUCAGGCUGUUAUUUUGGAUUGAGACCUUUCUAGGUAGGGCAAAGAUAGGGCUUGCCCUUCUCUUUACUGCCGUUCUGGUUCUUCUUUUAUAGGAGAGUCUUUCAUUUGUAUUGUGCAGAAACAGAUUAAAAUCUACUUUGACCUCUGACCUUUCGAAUUUAUUAUGUUGCCAAAAAUCUCCAGGUAGUAGGGAGCCUUUCAAGGUUAUGUUAUCCAGUCGCCAGCCUUCAGGCAGGUCAAGUCAUACUCACUUUGCUAGACACUGUCCUAGGUGCUGGAGAUCCAGAAGGGACUAAAACAGUCACUUUGCUCAAGGAGACUGCUGGUUUUUGGAGACAUGAGACCAAAAAUCUCACUCUGGUGUUGUGUGAUUCUUGUGACAGUGGAGGUGAGCCUAGAAUGUCAUAGGAGCACAGGUGUGGGACAUCUCUCCUGGGAAAUUGUGUGUGUGUGUGUGUGUGUGUGUGUGCAGGAUUCAUGGAAGUCUUCAUGGAGGAGUGACCCAUAAGCCAAGCCUUGAAGGAUAAAGAGUAAUAAGCCAGUCAGAGGAAAAGGGUCCAGCCUAUAUAGAGGCACAGAGGUGAGAGAAGGCUCAUGCAGUGAUGUGCACAGUUUGUGAGGGAGGGCAUGAGAGGGUGGUGGCCAGACAGACUGUGUAAGCAGCAUAGUCAGCCACCUGAUGUGCUACCAAGAGCUGUGGGUAUGGAAACACUAGUAAGUAAGAUAAAACCUUUAAUAAUGUGAGGAUUUUGCUGCCUCAAAAGAAUGAAAUGCCUGCUAACUAGCCUGCACCAUGCAGAAGGUCCCUGCCCAGAUUCAGGCAGAUAAAAGGUGAGAAGCAGAGCUAAUCAAGUGGCCCCUGGACCUUCUUGUCCUUUAUUCCCAGGCUCAAAUUGCAGCCUCCAUAGCUCACAUUUGUGGGGACUUCUACUGUCAAAUCAGCCCAGUACUGCUGUCCCCUUCUAGUAAAUGCAAGAUUCUCCCCACCACUUCCCUACCUUCUAGCCUAGGGUUUCUCAACCUCAGAACUAUUGACAUUUUAGGCUAGAUAUAUCUUUCUCUACUACUGUUCUCUACUUUGUAGGAUUUUUAUCAGCAUCAUUGACCUCAAUACAAUCGAUACCAGUAGCACUCUCCCCCCACCCCCCCACACACAUACCAGUUGUGACAAUUAAAAAUGUCUGCAGACAUUGCCAAAUGUCCUCUUGGGAUGGGGGCUAAAUCAUCCCAGCUGAGAACCCCUGCUCUAACCCAAACACACAGAUACACUUCUUCCAGUAAGUGCUCAUUUCUCUGCUCCAGUGUUAUGGUGUGACCUUGAUGGGGGCUUCUGGGUCUCAUGUAACUCCUCCCCCUUCCACUGCUUCUUGGCCAAAAUGUUACUGAGGCUGGAAGCCCGAUUUGAGCUGCUGCAAUCCGAGCAUUUUUGGACGAGGGAGGCUCUCACUUUCUUCCAGGUGCAAAUCUAGACAUCCUGAGCCUGGGAGGUUUUGGUGGCCAUGCAACCAGCCAUAGCCAUAGCUUCUCUAAGGGAGUCAAAUUACGAGGCAGAGAUAACAUGGAAAAAAUCUGGCGGCAGUUGAGCAUCUGGUGCUAUCUGCCCUAAGACGUAUGGUUUGCCUCAUGACCAUUACACUCUUCUUUAUACUGAGUUCAUAUAAGUUAAGUUCAAGUCACUUAUGACCAAACAGACCUAAUGAAUGCACCAUCCUGUGGUGAAAAGUCAAAUUAAAGGAAAGGCAGACAAGUCAACAAGGUGAAGUGAGAGUGAGAUUGUGUUUAUGUUGAUGUCUAGAGCAUGGUUAUUCUCGGCUGCCUAUCCUAGGCUGGCUUAGGGCAGUGCUGCUUGCUGAGGUCUCUUCUUACCUCCUGAGAAGAGCAAAGAGAUGGUAGUGAGACAAAUGACCAAGAUUCAAUUCUUGUGUGAGAUCAAACCUUUCUCUCUUUUUCUUAUGCCAGUGAAAAUUCCUAUCCCUAGAACUGUGACCUAAUAAAAUGCCCCAGCUUUUAGUUCUGCAUCAUUCUUCUAGUGAUGGGGUCAGAAGGGGCAGAAGGGAGCCAAGAGGAGCCUUGAACCUCUAUAGAAGAUAACAUUUCUCCACUUCUUAUUCUUUCCGCACUCUCAAUGACCUUAUUGCUCAGGCCUACGGCCAAAUAGAGAUGCAACUUUCCUCUCAAAAAGUGGAAAUCUACGGAGCAUCCUUAGGAAAUCUGCUCCGCUUCUUCUAAAUCCUCACCUUUAUUCCCUGUCUCCUUUGGGUCUAUGGGGUAAAUGGCUGCACUCCUAAAGACUCGAUCAAUGUUUCUUAAAUGAUGCUUCCAGCAUUGAGAUAGAUUUGUCCUGGAUAUUAAUAAAAUGUAUGCUAAAUCAGAGAAUUUACAAUUAAUCAGAUCUGAAAAGUCACUUGCAUUUUGUUUCCAAUUUUGAAUUAUAAUCAGUCAUAAUUUUCAACCAAAUUCAGCAGAAAGUAUAUUGUACAUCAAAGAGCAAUAUGGUCCAAAAAUGCAACACCAGCAUUAUUGAACCUCACCCUGUCCAUCCAUGGCACAGCCUCUAAUUCUAGUGGAAAAUAAAAACACAGAGGAGAAUAAUAAUGCAAAGCUGUGUCCUUUGUCAUUUGCCCUGUCCCCAAACAUCUCCUGUGCUGUAUUUAAAUUCCCUUACCUUGGAUAACCCUACUAAUCUAAUUGCAAAAGAAACAUCCAUUUCUAAUGUUACUUGACUCUCUAUCUGUAAAGGAGCACAUCACCCUCUUGACAAUGGCUGAGAGGUAGGAGAAAGGAAAAACAGCCUACAGUAGCUAGCACCAUGCCACCCACCUGGGUCUGACUCUUUCAAUACCAAAAGGUGCAAAGCUGUAGGUCAGAGCUCUGCUGGUUAGGAGGAGCUGUAUUUGUGUUUUAAGAGUAACUGGGAUUUGUUUCAAUCAUGUGUCGCAAGACAUGCCGCCACAGAAAUGAUUGUGAUGAAGCUAAGAGGUUUGUCGGUUCCCUGGAAACAGGAAGCUUGGCGUACCAUGCGAGGCAACACGGAGAAGCAUCAGGUUCAUACAGAAGGCAGAGAGAGCAGGUGGGAUGUGUGGAAAUGUGAACAAGAGCCUUUCUUGUGGUUUCUGUGGGAAAGAAGAGGCAAUGCAGGGUAAACAGGUUUAGGAUUGGUUAGUUUGAAUAAUUUCAGCUGGCUCUGGGCAUAGGGGCUGCACCUAGUGGUCUGGUACUGACUCUGUGAUUAGGGCAGGGGAAUAGUAGCUUAGAAUGUGCAGGAACCUAAUAAAGACUCUGAUUGGGGUAUUGUUUGGUUUGUACAUGAAAGGCACGCUCCCGGCGGAAUUGUUUACUGUCUCCAGGAAUUGGCUAGGCCGGGUGCUACAGUCCAUCCCGGGUCAACAAGGUCCCAGAUGUCAAAGCAUCAGAACACAGAAAAUAAAAAGACAUGGUUGAUACAGUUUGCCACUGGGGAUGUAAACAUGGAAGUAGUGGUUCUCAGAUCUUCUUGUACGUUGGUUUUAUGCUACAGAAUCCUUUAUUCAAAAAAAAAAAAAAAAAAAACAACCUCACUUAGAUGACCAAUAUAUAAAGUAGUUAAUUGAGAGCUGCUCUGGUUGAAACAAGGAUUUUUGGCCCAGAGACUUGAAUACACAGCCUCUCUGUCCCUUUUCCUGGGUAGUUCUUUAGGGAAUCCUAGAGAUCCAUGGAUAAUGUCAGGGAAACAGGGCACUGGAGGCCUCUCCUAACGCCAGCUGUACCUGCCACAAUGUGGUAGUGGCUGCCCACAUGCUAGUCCCCUGUGCAUAUAUACUGCUUGGGUCUGUUGGAGAUUCACCAAAGGUUCCAGGAAUCCAGCACCCAGGUUUAUUCUGCCAGAGCACUGCUCCCAUGUACACCAUCCGAACCAAGGACAAGGCCAGGAAAGGGAACACCUUAAGGCAAGCUGGCAUUUGUAUUGGUUACUAUAUUGUAGAGUGACUUGUUUGGGAUCCAAAUCACAGUCUACUCCUCUGAGGAGUUAGACUGGACCAUGCAGAAGAUCUUGGCCUAGAAUAAAGAGACUUGAGUAACCUCCUUUGCUCCUUCCUCCUAAGCCCUAGAAUCUCAAGUCCUCAGUGUCUUCUUGCUCCGAGGGCUAGGAAAGGCCAGUCUGAAGAUGAGCCAUGGAGCCAUAAGAGCAAGACUUUGUCUCAAUGUCUAGGCCAGAGUGGUCACAAUGACCUGCGCCAGACCUUCCCUCUCAGGCUUGUCUUAGUUCACUAACUGCAAGUAAGUAAAACAAAGAAGAGAGUAAAUCAACAUUUCACUAUCACUGGUGUCAUCAUUAUCAUCAUCAUCAUCAUCACUGACAUUGUUAAUUUUAUUGUAAUUAUCAUUUUUUUCGUAAUAUCCCUGUCUUGCUUCAAGGAAUUAUUAUUAAUGCAAGUUUAGUGUGCUUCAUUGCUCUGAAAUGGCAGGGAGAAGCUGUGGUUCUCCGUCUCGUUAACCUAAAUUUUCUAAGUCCAUGUUCUCUCCAGUGACUGUGACAAUGGGAUGACACUGUUGCUGUUAUUCGUCUGUUGACUGUUGCAUCACUUAUUUGUAGGUAUGCUGACAGCUUGGUCUGAAUGGUCAGUCUCUCCACUCAAGAUCACUCCAUGACCUCUGGCUAACCUCAUCUCAUCCUGCUCCUUUUGCUCAGAAAAGACCACUUGUAGUCCUUGAUGGUACCUCUGUGCACUGUUCCUUCCCAUGUUCUUUUUUUGUGGGGAAGCAUCCAUCAGGAGGAAGAAUGACCUUCCUAUUGGGAAUCUGACCUAGAAAAUGAGCCCCUGUUGUUUUGCACCAGGGAAACUUUCAAGUCACAUCUCCCUGGAAACAUUGGCACUUGACAACCCACUUCAUCAUUUAUUGCUCAGUAUCAAGUAAUGGAAUUUUUUGGUUUAUUUCUUCUUGAUUUUGAAUUCAGGGCUGUAUUCUAGAGAGUUGAAAGAAGUUGCCGGAAGUCUGACCUCUGAAAAAGUGGAAUGAUAUCCUACUUUUCUAGAAGGCUGCACUUUGAAUCAUGAAACAGCCUGAGCACAUUGGAAAAGUGCCUAAGUUGAGAGCUGAUGAUAGACUAAGUGGAAUUAAUGUCACAUUGGCCCCAGCAGAAAUCUGAUCUGGGAGGUUCAGAGUGAUGCGUUAGAAAGGGUACUUGAUUAAUACUUAGAAAACUGUUUCUGUAAUACAGGUGUUUUAUUUAUUGGCUGCAUGAAUUUAGACUCCUCUUUUCCUUUUAUUCAUAUUGAUAUGAAUGAUGAAUGUUCAAGUGAGAUUAGUUACAUAAAAAAUUUUGAAAUUUAUAGAGUAUGAUCCAUAUAUAGGUUGUUAUUGUAUGUAGUUACCUAAAAUGAAAGCAGCAUACAUACUGUUCUCAACUUACUUUCUUGGCUCCCUAGGCAAUACAGAAAAUUAGAAGUUGACUUUAACUCCUAUGGACAGGUAGGCGAAGUAGAAAACAGCUCAUGUGGAGACGGAAAAGAACCGUCCUUGAGCAGAUGAAUAACGAUAGAGGGAAGCAGUUGGCAGUGAGUUGUGUUAUGUUCCCAGGCCUUACUGAUUCUGGCACAGACAGCUCGCACCUUUCCAAAAAUUUAGGGGCAAACACUUAAAUAUAUAACAAAAAGAGCAAAGGCAUUUGAGAAAUGUGAUAGUAUAACUUCAAGGUUAAUUUAGCAAAUAUUUUUUAAAAAAUCUUUGGAGGGUCUGUUCACUUAUGAUCAGCAUACUAAGGUUUUGAAAUGCCCUCAGAAAUGUCUAAAACCCAGCCCAGAAACUGUUCAAGGAUGUGAAGUAGAAAUUCUCAGAUGCUCUGUUCCUUUUUUUUUUUGUCAUGUUGAAUUACUAAGUGAUAGAACCCCAAGUGGCAUAAGAGAUAAAUUAGUCCAAUCAUCUCAUGAGCAACAUGGUAAACUUGAUUUUCAAGAUGGUAACUGACCUCUCCAAGGUCACACUGUAAAUAUGCACUUUCCUAUAUGGUAGACAUUAGUCACACACAGCUAUUGAGCACUUAAAAUGUGACUAGAGAAACUGAAAAACUGAACCU